rnacentral:rRNA from 1 species
CAGUCGCCGCGGUAAUACAGAGGGUGCAAGCGUUAAUCGGAAUUACUGGGCGUAAAGCGCGCGUAGGUGGUUUGUUAAGUUGAAUGUGAAAUCCCCGGGCUCAACCUGGGAACUGCAUCCAAAACUGGCAAGCUAGAGUAGGGCAGAGGGUGGUGGAAUUUCCUGUGUAGCGGUGAAAUGCGUAGAUAUAGGAAGGAACACCAGUGGCGAAGGCGACCACCUGGGCUCAUACUGACACUGAGGUGCGAAAGCGUGGGGAGCAAACAGGAUUAGAGACCCCUGUAGUCCCUGUCUCUUAUAA